rnacentral:lncRNA from 1 species
AGUUGAUUUGACGACGGAACAAGCCACCGCCGGGAAAGAAACAGAAGGAUCUGAUGAUUCCGCCGGGAAAGAAACAGUAGGAUCUGAUGAUUCUGGGAAGGAGAGUGCAGAUCUGGUUGUUGAGAAGAAGUCUAAUGAUUCUGGGAGUGAGGUUCAGGAUGAUGAUGAAGAAGGAGACGAUGAUGAUGCUGGGGCUAAGAAAAGAAGAAGGUAUAUCUAAUUUACUCUUUUCGAAAGUACUUUGAAAAAUUAGGGUUUUAGUAUUGAUUUUGGAUUUGUGUGUUUUGUAUUGAUUGCCUUUAGAUUGAGAACAAAGCUUAGAUACGUAUCUGUGACAUUGAAGAUAUGAUGAUGAGAAUGUUUAAAGUGUAUUAUAUAACUCAUUCGUUAUGUUGUUUUAAGAGUUCAAAUUCCUGAGCAAAUUGUAUGUAUGUAUGUA